AUCUCUGUCAUUUUGGUUUAGUUUUUGUCUAUGGUCACUUAGUUCUAGUUGAGUAUGGAUAUUUUCAUAAUAAAUUAACAUUUAAAUGGCUUCUUCGAUGCAAAAUAAUAGAGUGUCGCCUCCAGGAUAUUGCGGGUGUUGCAGAACUUGCAACAUGUGGUGCUGGAGGGCUUUCAAAUGGCUCCCAGUACUGUUAAUAGUGGCUAUAGUGACAUGGUCAUACUAUGCCUACGUUUACCAGUUGUGCUUUUGUACCAUUGAGAGUACAGUUCAGCAAUGUAUAUAUCUGUUUCUUUAUCACGUAUUGCUGAUAAUGUUUGCGUGGUCUUAUUGGCGAACUAUUUUUGCUGAUAUCAAACCAAUUCCAGACAAGUACAAACUACCAGAAGCAGAGUUGGAAAAGUUGCUUAGUGCAGAAACUGAGGAUGCUCAAAGGACAAUUUUAGAGAACUUUGCAAAAGAUCUCUCCAUAGUUACUAGGACAAUGUCCGGCUCAGUGCGCUACUGCAACCGCUGUGUGCUGGUGAAACCCGACCGCGCGCAUCACUGCAGCAUCUGCGCGCGCUGCGUACUUAAAAUGGACCACCACUGCCCCUGGGUCAACAACUGUGUCUGCUUCCACAACUACAAGUUCUUUAUGCUCUUCCUGGGCUACGCGCUGCUCUACUGUCUCUUCAUCAUGUCCACGUGUCUGCCUUACUUCAUCAGGUUUUGGAAGGGAGAAUUCGGCAUCUCGGGCAGCGCCGGGCGCUACCACAUAGUGUUCGCGUUUUUCGUGGCGCUCAUGUUCGCGAUCUCGCUCGGCUCGCUCUUCGGCUACCAUUGUUACCUUGUCGCGCACAACAGAACAACCUUAGAAGCGUUCCGAGCGCCUAUGUUCCGUGGCGGCGCAGAUAAGAACGGGUUUUCCAUGGGUGCCUACAAUAAUUUCAAGGAAGUAUUCGGCGCCAGCCCCAACCUCUGGGUAGUGCCUGUGUUCACAAGCGCGGGGGACGGGUGCGAGUUCCCCGUGCGGCGCGAGCACCAGCUGCAGCCGUUCAGCGCGCCGCCCGACCACGGCUACGACGCCAUGGGCACCACGCGCGCCAGGUCAGAGCCCGGCGACUCGCCCGCGCCGCUGCCGCUAGAGCCCUCCAAACACAUACCUUGACGUCUAUCCGAGAAAUACUCUAGGCGAACCGUAGUUUCGGAUUUUUCUGAUAAUUGUAGUGCUAGCAGCUCGGAAUCGGUAUCCUCAGUUACCGAAACGAAAUAGCGCGUUCAAUUCACCAGUUAAGUAAAUUGACGUACCUCUGCUAAAUACUUUUUGAAUCGGUAUUUUUAAUUCUUGAAAGAAUAGCAUUUCUUACAUCGGGUAAUUUUCAAUCUUCAUCGGGAUUUUUCUGAUAGUCGGUAUUCUCAGUUACCGAAACGAUACCGUGUUUCCACUAUCGGUAUGUUUUCAAUCUUCAUCGGGAUUUGUCUGAUAAUCGGUAUUCUUAGUUACCGAAACGAUAGCGCGUUGCCUUCAUCUGUUUUUUUUUUUACUUAUUGUAUCUUACUGAUAUUUAGUUUACUGUAAAUUGGGUCGCAGUUUAAAAAAAAAUCGGGAGGUUUGAGAUUCACCAUAGCUCCACCAGAAGCUAGACCAUUUUUACCGCUCAUUGAUACAUAAUAAGCGCUUGAUAAGCUUUCAAUACAAACCGAUACCGCACCCACAAUUUGGAAGAGAACGUCAAGGUAUUUCUGAACUUCCUUUCACUAUAUAUUUUAAAAUAGUCAGACAUUGAAGAAGUCCAUUGUGUGUUAUUUGGCAAUUAAUAUAUUCAGUCUAUUUUUUCUCAAAGCUAUUUGUAAUGUUCAAAUGAUACUAUCUCUCCGAAUAUCAAGGAGUUUUGUUUUUUUUUUUUGUCGAAUUUAAAUUAUAAUUAGGUACUGACGUUCCGUUUUAUGAACUAAAAAUAUUCUUCAAUAAUUAAUCUUAUCAAUAAUAAAUUCGCGUACUCUGCUGCACUGCAUUUCAUUUCCUGUGAAUGUAUUUUACGGAUUUUAGGAAUACUUUUAUUUUUAUCGAUUUUUCAAAAAUACUCGUUAGCUAUCCACGUUUUAGCAAUACGUUAUUUAUACAGAAUAACUAGCUGGUGCCCGCGACUUCGUUCGCGUGGAUAGAGGUUUUCUAAAAAUCCCGUAGGAACUCUUAAAUUUUCUGGGAUAAAAGGUAACCUAUGUUCUUUUCCAUGUCAAAGGCUACAUGCAUGUCCAUCCAAAUCCGUUCAGCCGUUUUUCGUGAUUGAGUAACAAACAUCCAAACAUCCACACUUUCACAUUUAUAAAAUUAGGAGGAUUCCUCAACCUAUAAAUGCGCACCUUUAUAUAGUACUUUUAUACCUUUAUAUAAUCUUUAUAUAGUAUUAAUGAAUAGAAAUAUGACAAUAAUAUUAGGUUAGUCAAAUUGAAAGAUCUUACAUUGAAUUGGUGCGUAAAAAAUAUUAGAUAGACAAAAUCGUUUUUCAUUUCUCAAAUAUAUUAAUUAUUGCAGAUGUUAAUAUCAAGUUUUUUAGUAAUCGACGAAUAGUAUUUUAGUAAAUUCAAAUAGAUAAAUCGAACGUUAAAUGACCAAAUAGAUUCAGCUUGCCAUCACGUGCCAAACAAAGCUUUUUUAUAAUAUACCUACUUAGGUAUUCAUACGUCCAGUAAACCUACUUAAAAUAUUUUUUAUAUUAUUCAGUAAGUUACUUAAAGUUAAAAUAUUUGUGUUUGUUGAGUAAUAAUUUCGAAUAUAUUUGUCUCAGUAAAAUUUGAAAAUUAGUUAGUAAAUAAGGCGUACCAUAUUUUGUAUCAUGGAAUUGAGUAAAAUCGAUGUAAGUAUCACUUAUGGUACAAAACUUCAAUAAUUUAGAACUUUAGUUUAUUAUUCUUUAACGAUUAAUUACAUGGCCAUUGUGUUGUACCCAUAAUAAGAAUGUUAUGAAUCUAAAAAUAAUAAAUCUAAAUUAGUUAAAUUAAAAAUCCGAAACUUUAAUUCUCGUUUGACAUCUAUUUCUCUGGUAUACCUCAAGUAUGUGUAGGGAGGGAGGAUCACAUUUUUCUAAAUACAAUAUUAAUAAUGAAUUUAUAUUGAAUUUUUAUCUUUGAUCUAUGGAUAUAUACAUAUUGCUUGUAAACGCAUUUAUUUUUGGAGCUAUUAUACAACACACAAGACUGAUGAAGUUAGAAUGAAUUCUGUUUGUAUUUUGUAAGUUUGUAUUUGUGCACAAUAAACUUGUUUUGUUGUUAA